GACGAACGCUGGCGGCGUGCUUAACACAUGCAAGUCGAGCGGCGCGGCGAACGGGUGAGUAACGCGUGAGUAACUGCCCCCCUCCUUGGGAUAACAGUUGGAAACGGCUGCCCAUACCGGAUAGUGGGAGAUGACUCGGGUCCUAUCAGCUUGUUGGUGGGGUAGUGGCAUGCCAAGUCGACGACGGGUAGCCGGCCUGAGAGGGGGACCGGCCACAUUGGUCUGAGAGACGGCCCAAACGCCAACGGGAGGCAGCAGUGGGGAAUAUUGCACAAUGGGGGAAACCCUGAUGCAGAAACGCCGCGUGCGUGAUGACGGCCUUCGGGUUGUAAACCGCUUUCAGCCAUGACGCGGUAGUGGCAGAAGAAGCACCGGCUAACUACGUGCCAGCAGCCGCGGUAAUAC
rnacentral:rRNA from 1 species